UUCUGCAUAGCAGAGGCCUUUCUGCUACCUGGUGCCAACAUGCACACAGUCUCUAUUGAAGUGUGACGUUAGCUAACCAGAGAAGAGCCAGGAGUAGGAAAGCAGAUCUGUUCCAACAGCUUUACCAAGAAGGUAGUUGUAUUCCAGGGCUGGAUGAUGCUAGGAACCCUGCUCCUAUUGAUUAUAUCCUAUCGGAAAGACAGUGCAGCCAAGUACCAAUACCAGGAGACAGUCUCCAGCUGACAGAUUCCAGAGUGUGGUCCUGCCCUACAGGUGUUUGUAUCUGAGGCAGCAGAUACAGUGAGGUCAGAAGGAGUCAAUAAGUACAGGCCAAAAAAAGAAUAAUGAAUAACCAAGAAUGGGGAGAACAAGUCAAGUAAGACUUGUACUAUAGCAAAAGAAACUGAAGCUCUUGAUGUUAU